UGUUCCACUUUGAUGUCAUAAUCUCCAAGGACUUUUUUGCCCCGAAAGCACUUGGCCCUGGAAAGAGGAAAAAAAAAAAAGCAUACAAAUUAAUUUUGUAUAGGUGUUUGAGGUCAGAAAGCCACUCUCACCAAGAAGAGAACUACAGCAGACAGAACCCCAGAAUGAGAGUCAAGAGACCAGGGUAAGGGUUAGAGUCUAACUAAGUCUGCUAUCGGGUCACCAUAAGAAAGCCUCAAGCAAACCACUACCUCCCCACUUUGCUCAACUUGCUCACCCAUAAAAGAAACCAAAAGGCCUUUCACUCUCAGGUUUUGUGAUUUUAUGAUAACAUCCUUGGCCUUUCGGCUGCAAAAGAAGUCUAGAAGUAGGAAUUUCCCUAAUGUUAGUAAAGACUAGGUCAAUUUUAUACAUCUCUACAGUUUCCUUAUCUUUUUCACUCUGAUCUUCUAGUUGGUUUCCACCCUUGGAAUUUUAGUUUCUAAAGAAACUGUUAUCAUUUUACCACUUCAUACUCAUACUUCCAAAAAAGACUUGAGGCAACUAAUAAUUUAAAAAGUAAAUAUAACCAACAAUCAAUGAAUGAAGGAGAGUUAAUUAUACCAGAAAAAAAGAGGAUGGGGAGCUGAGGAAAGCUACUAUAAUUGAACACAAAACCUAUCCUGUAUUUCUAGGCAGUUGAGAGAAUGAGUCAAGCUGAGAUAGUUCCCAUUUUGUCACAGAUCUGGAGGAACCUCACAUUAUAGCUGCUGAUCUUCAGGACUCUGCAGGGCUCUGUCCACGACUAUAAACAGAAGUACAUGGAGGAAAUGAUCCGAUGAGGUUCCGUCCUUACACUGGUGACUGUGUGUCUACCUUGUUACCAGCAAUGCUUCCUGAUGCUUCCUUCCAUCUUCCUGUCUCAAGAUAGCUCUCCUUCUGUGAGCUCUGGGUUACUGGCCUCUCUUGACUGAGCCGAAAUCUUAUAAAAAAGGAGACGAGAUAGCAGGUGAUGGGGCACAGAGCCUUCUUUUGGAGAAUGAGCACAUUAUCCCAGGUAUUUUCAUGAAAAACUGUGUAACUCACAAGCAAGUGACAGAAUUAUCUCCCAAUUCUAAGAAAGCACUGUUAGGGGCUGUGUGCUAGAAGCCAGAGGGGUUCUGGAUGCACAGUCUGGGUGGGUUUCCUGGCUGUACACU